AUUAUAUAUUUGAGCAUUUUUUGUUGAUAUAUGAUUUUCCAAAAAGAAUAUUUAUUUUACAGUUUAAUAUAUAAAGGUAAAUUUGGAAGCAUAUUUU